AACAGACAAAGGUGUGGAUAGUGGAGAGGAAGAGAAGUGCUUGGACCUAGUUAAUCCUCAAAUCCAACUAUAUCUUGAAUUAUCAAGAGGAAUGCCUAUCCUGCGGCACAUUUGAUCCACCUGGAAGAUUUCAUGAAUUACUCAUACCCCUGCUUUCUGGAAAUUUGGACUCAAUUGAUCUGGGGCCCAGGCCUCAGUAUUUUGAAGCUUCCCUAAGUGAUUCUAAUGAACAGCCAGGGUUGAGAACCACUGAACUAUGGUACAACAUCAUCGGUAAACAAGAAGAAUAAGUUCUAGUGUUCUAUUACACAGCAGGACGAGUGUAGCAAAUGACAGUGCAGCAUGUAUUUCAAAAUAUCUAAAAGAAGAGAUUCGAGACGUAAUCACCACAAAGGAAUGUUGGGAGACCAGGUCAAAGGUAACUGUUCAUAGAGGUCAGCCAUCCAGAUCAAGCCUGGGACCUUUCCAAGGAGACAGAGUCCAGUUGACGUUGGCCAUUCACUGACUGGUGUCAGCAGAUAAAGGAGACGGUGACAAAAUCUUCUAUCUAGGGUUUCUCAGCAAAAAUGUCAACUCAACUAUUUAGAUUAACAAGUGGAUUUUCCUUUCUGCGGAAAUCUUCUGGAGACAGACAGCCUGGGUUUGCCAUUUACUAACCAUGUGAUCACUGACAAGUGUGCCUCAGUUUCCUCCAGUAUAAAAGGAGAAUAAGAGUAUUACUCACCACACAGGAUUCUUGUGGGGUGAAAUAAAUCAUAUAUGCCAAGAGCUUAAAACAGUGUCUUGCACAGAGCUGGCCCUUGGGAAAUGAUAUUGUCUCUUUAUAUCCAAUACCAAAGAGCAGCCAUUUGUUAAGAAUUUCCUAUGUGACUGUUGCCAUGUUAAAAUUGUUUUGAACAUCACUUGACUUUUACCCUUACAACAAUUCUUUGUGGUUGCUAUUUUAUUCCCAUUUCAUAGAUGAGAAAAGUGAGGCAGAGAGAAAUUUUACCAUUUGCUCAGGGCCACAUGUUAACAGGAAUAAGAUAACUGGAAUUCUAUCUCAGUUUUUUCUGGCACAAAAGCUUGUGAUUUUUACCACUACACGGUCCUGUGAUAAAAUCAAACUGAAACAAAGCAAAAAGCAAUCUUCUUUUUAGUCCUGUUUGAUGUUCUCUGAGACGGCUGUUUGGUUAUUCUUAAAUUGUAAACUCUAACAGGGCAGAGUUGUGGCUGUGAAUUUUUUUCUACGGUAAUUUCUAUAAAGGACUCAUCUAUAACUCCACACUAUUUGCAAAUAUAUUUGUUUUCCAUAAAAAUCUGAAAAUCUGAGCUUUUGUCUAGCCUAUGUGUUUUGUUUUGUUUCAUUCUGGGUUGGUUGUUUGAAGAGCUGGUCUUCCCUUGAGGGAACAUGGGUAGCAAAACCAAACCAAUCAAUACCCAUUGAUCUAUCACGCUGCUGUGUGCAGAAGA